UACAGAGGGCUCAAGCGUUGUUCGGAUUCAUUGGGCGUAAAGGGUGCGUAGGCGGCUCGGUAAGUCGGGUGUGAAAUCUUGGAGCUUAACUCCGAAACUGCAUUCGAUACUGCCAUGCUUGAGGACUGGAGAGGAGACUGGAAUUUACGGUGUAGCGGUGAAAUGCGUAGAUAUCGUAAGGAAGACCAGUGGCGAAGGCGGGUCUCUGGACAGUUCCUGACGCUGAGGCACGAAGGCCAGGGGAGCAAACGGG
rnacentral:rRNA from 1 species